GCAAACGGGAUUAGAUACCCUGGUAGUCCACGCCGUAAACGAUGUCGACUUGGAGGUUGUUCCCUUGAGGAGUGGCUUCCGGAGCUAACGCGUUAAGUCGACCGCCUGGGGAGUACGGCCGCAAGGUUAAAACUCAAAUGAAUUGACGGGGGCCCGCACAAGCGGUGGAGCAUGUGGUUUAAUUCGAUGCAACGCGAAGAACCUUACCUACUCUUGACAUCCAGAGAACUUAGCAGAGAUGCUUUGGUGCCUUCGGGAACUCUGAGACAGGUGCUGCAUGGCUGUCGUCAGCUCGUGUUGUGAAAUGUUGGGUUAAGUCCCGCAACGAGCGCAACCCUUAUCCUUUGUUGCCAGCGGUUAGGCCGGGAACUCAAAGGAGACUGCCAGUGAUAAACUGGAGGAAGGUGGGGAUGACGUCAAGUCAUCAUGGCCCUUACGAGUAGGGCUACACACGUGCUACAAUGGCGCAUACAAAGAGAAGCGACCUCGCGAGAGCAAGCGGACCUCAUAAAGUGCGUCGUAGUCCGGAUUGGAGUCUGCAACUCGACUCCAUGAAGUCGGAAUCGCUAGUAAUCGUAGAUCAGAAUGCUACGGUGAAUACGUUCCCGGGCCUUGUACACACCGCCCGUCACACCAUGGGAGUGGGUUGCAAAAGAAGUAGGUAGCUUAACCUUCGGGAGGGCGCUUACCACUUUGUGAUUCAUGACUGG
rnacentral:rRNA from 1 species